GAGGGUAUAGCUCAAGUGGUAGAGUACAUGCUUAGCACACAGAGGUCCUGGGUUCAAUCCCCAGUACCUCCU
rnacentral:tRNA from 1 species